GACCAAACAUUACACUAGCAUUAAAGAAAAGGAAUCUAUAAAGGAAAAGAAAAUAGGUACCAUGUUUGCUUUAAGUUGACAGACAUGUCAUUCUGGUAUACUAAAAGCAAGAAAACUACUAUGAGAUCAUGAAGUAAGAACUUUGCAUAAUCCAUUGAACUAGACUUUCUGAAACUAAAUAAAAAAAUAAAGUUAUUCACUCAAAUCACACCAGAUGCACUAAGCCACAGGACAAGUCUCAAUGUAGGGAUUCAAUUUACUCUACAAAAAAAAAGACAAUUUAAAUACCUUGCCUGUUCCAGAUUUCUCC
rnacentral:lncRNA from 1 species